AUUGAACGCUGGCGGCAGGCCUAACACAUGCAAGUCGAGCGGUUGACGGGAGCUUGCUCCCUGAUUCAGCGGCGGACGGGUGAGUAAUGCCUAGGAAUCUGCCUAUUAGUGGGGGACAACGUUUCGAAAGGAACGCUAAUACCGCAUACGUCCUACGGGAGACAGCAGGGGACCGUCGGGCCUUGCGCUACAAGGUGAGCCUAGGUCGGCUUAGCUUGUUGGUGAGGCAAUGGCUCACCUAGGCGACGAUCCGUAAUCGGUCUGAGCUGAUGAUCAGUCACCAGCGAAUUGCGACACGAACGAGACUCCUACGGGAGGCAGCAGAGGGGAAUAUUGGAGAGUGUGUGAAAGAUUGAUCCAGCCAUGCCGCGUGUGUGAAGAAGGUCUUCGGAUUGUCAAGCACUUUACGUUGGGAGGAAGCGUUGUAGAUUAAUACUCUGCAAUUUUGACGUUACCGGCAGAAUAAGCACCGGCUAACUCUGUGCCAGCCACCGCCGUAACUC
rnacentral:rRNA from 1 species